CUACGGGGUGCUCCAGUUAGGAAUCUUCCACAAUGGGCGAAAGCCUGAUGGAGCAACGCCGCGUGCAGGAUGAAGGCCUUCGGGUUGUAAACUGCUUUUAUGUGCGAGGAAUAUGACGGUAACACAUGAAUAAGGAUCGGCUAACUCCGUGCCAGCAGCCGCGGUCAUACGGAGGAUCCGAGCGUUAUCCGGAGUGACUGGGCGUAAAGGGUUGCGUAGGUGGUUUAUUAAGCAAAUAGUGAAAUCUUGUGGCUCAACCAUGAGGCUAUUAUUUGAACUGAUAAACUUGAGAACAUGAGAGGUAGAUGGAAUUCCCAGUGUAGGAGUGAAAUCCGUAGAUAUUGGGAGGAACACCAAUGGCGUAGGCAGUCUACUGGUAUGUUUCUGACACUGAGGCACGAAAGCGUGGGGAGCGAACCGGAUUAGAUACCCUGGUAGUC
rnacentral:rRNA from 1 species